UGGGGAAUCUUAGACAAUGGGGGCAACCCUGAUCUAGCCAUCCCGCGUGAGUGAUGAAGGCCUUAGGUCCCCAAAGCUCUCUCAUCGGGGAAGAUAAGGUCGUUUCCAGCGGAAGUAGCCCGGGGCAAGUAGGGUCCAGCAGGAAAAAUAAUGAGGAGGGGAAGCAGGCCCGUGGGACUUGGAGGGCGUAAAGCGCAAUAAGGGAGUCCGGAAAGGGGUGGGUGAAAUCCCGGGUCUCAACCUAGGACAUGCCUUCGAGGGACGGCCUGGGGCGUUCGAAAGAGGUGAGUGGAAUUGAAAUUGUAGAGCCGAAACUAGUCGAUCCAGAGAGGAACACCAGUCCAGAAGGCGGCUCACUGGUCAGGAACGAAAGUUGAGGGGUGAAAGCCGGUGGAGCAAACUGGUAGAUAUGCCCAUGUAGUGACACCCCCUAAAGGAGGAAUGGCAGUAGUCGCAUGGCAUGCAAUUCAGUGACACGGGAANNCAAAGAAGCAUUCUCCGGGGGGAGUACGGUCGCAAGAUUA
rnacentral:rRNA from 1 species